rnacentral:rRNA from 1 species
AUUGAACGCUGGCGGCAGGCCUAACACAUGCAAGUCGAGCGGAUGAAGGGAGCUUGCUCCUGGAUUCAGCGGCGGACGGGUGAGUAAUGCCUAGGAAUCUGCCUGGUAGUGGGGGAUAACGUCCGGAAACGGGCGCUAAUACCGCAUACGUCCUGAGGGAGAAAGUGGGGGAUCUUCGGACCUCACGCUAUCAGAUGAGCCUAGGUUGGAUUAGCUAGUUGGUGGGGUAAAGGCCUACCAAGGCGACGAGCCGUAACUGGUCUGAGAGGAUGAUCAGUCACACUGGAACUGAGACACGGUCCAGACUCCUACGGGAGGCAGCAGUGGGGAAUAUUGGACAAUGGGCGAAAGCCUGAUCCAGCCAUGCCGCGUGUGUGAAGAAGGUCUUCGGAUUGUAAAGCACUUUAGGUUGGGAGGAAGGGCAGUAAGUUAAUACCUUGCUGUUUUGGCGUUACCAACAGAAUAAGCACCGGCUAACUUCGUG